GCCUGGCUGGUUCAGUUGGUGGAGCAUGUGACUCUUGAUCUUGAGGUCAUGAGUUUGAGCCUCAUGCUGGGUG
rnacentral:tRNA from 1 species